CCUCCUUCUGCUUUUUACCUCAUUAUCUCAGAUUUGUUACACUGAGGACUUGCCUACAACACUCCACCGCUAUCUCCACCUGGUUAAGGAAAAAAGGCUAUCAAGGGUAUUUAUACCUUUGCCUUUCCGCCUCAACCAUUGGAACCUGGGACGAACUGAACCCACUUCACUUGCUGUGGACACCAGCGCCGACGAACUUCGCACAAAGCCCGUCCACUGGACAGCUGCGCGCUGCCAAAUGGAAUCCAGAUCCCGAGCAAGGGUGCGGCCCAGGGAGAGUUCCAAGGAACUGGGGGACAAAAUGGGCAAACCACAACAAGCUGGCAGCGGUGGGAUUCGAACCCACGCCUCCGAAGAGACUGGAGCCUUAAUCCAGCGCCUUAGACCGCUCGGCCACGCUACCUUCC
rnacentral:tRNA from 1 species